AGAGUUUGAUCCUGGCUCAGGAUGAACGCUAGCUACAGGCUUAACACAUGCAAGUCGAGGGGCAGCAUGGUCUUAGCUUGCUAAGGCCGAUGGCGACCGGCGCACGGGUGAGUAACACGUAUCCAACCUGCCGUCUACUCUUGGACAGCCUUCUGAAAGGAAGAUUAAUACAAGAUGGCAUCAUGAGUCCGCAUGUUCACAUGAUUAAAGGUAUUCCGGUAGACGAUGGGGAUGCGUUCCAUUAGAUAGUAGGCGGGGUAACGGCCCACCUAGUCUUCGAUGGAUAGGGGUUCUGAGAGGAAGGUCCCCCACAUUGGAACUGAGACACGGUCCAAACUCCUACGGGAGGCAGCAGUGAGGAAUAUUGGUCAAUGGGCGAGAGCCUGAACCAGCCAAGUAGCGUGAAGGAUGACUGCCCUAUGGGUUGUAAACUUCUUUUAUAAAGGAAUAAAGUCGGGUAUGCAUACCCGUUUGCAUGUACUUUAUGAAUAAGGAUCGGCUAACUCCGUGCCAGCAGCCGCGGUAAUACGGAGGAUCCGAGCGUUAUCCGGAUUUAUUGGGUUUAAAGGGAGCGUAGAUGGAUGUUUAAGUCAGUUGUGAAAGUUUGCGGCUCAACCGUAAAAUUGCAGUUGAUACUGGAUAUCUUGAGUGCAGUUGAGGCAGGCGGAAUUCGUGGUGUAGCGGUGAAAUGCUUAGAUAUCACGAAGAACUCCGAUUGCGAAGGCAGCCUGCUAAGCUGCAACUGACAUUGAGGCUCGAAAGUGUGGGUAUCAAACAGGAUUAGAUACCCUGGUAGUCCACACGGUAAACGAUGAAUACUCGCUGUUUGCGAUAUACGGCAAGCGGCCAAGCGAAAGCGUUAAGUAUUCCACCUGGGGAGUACGCCGGCAACGGUGAAACUCAAAGGAAUUGACGGGGGCCCGCACAAGCGGAGGAACAUGUGGUUUAAUUCGAUGAUACGCGAGGAACCUUACCCGGGCUUGAACUCAGGAGGAAGGAGGCGGAGACGCCGACGCCCCCUCGGGGGCCUCCUGGGAGGUGCUGCAUGGUUGUCGUCAGCUCGUGCCGUGAGGUGUCGGCUUAAGUGCCAUAACGAGCGCAACCCUUGUUGUCAGUUACUAACAGGUCAUGCUGAGGACUCUGACAAGACUGCCAUCGUAAGAUGUGAGGAAGGUGGGGAUGACGUCAAAUCAGCACGGCCCUUACGUCCGGGGCUACACA
rnacentral:rRNA from 1 species